UGAGGAAUAUUGGUCAAUGGGCGAGAGCCUGAACCAGCCAAGUAGCGUGCAGGAUGACGGCCCUAUGGGUUGUAAACUGCUUUUAUAUGGGAAUAAAGUGAGGGACGUGUCCCUUAUUGCAUGUACCAUACGAAUAAGGACCGGCUAAUUCCGUGCCAGCAGCCGCGGUAAUACGGAAGGUCCAGGCGUUAUCCGGAUUUAUUGGGCGUAAAGCGCGCGUAGGCGGUUUGUUAGGUCAGGAGUUAAAUCUGGGGGCUCAACCCCUAUCCGCUCCUGAUACCGGCAGGCUUGAGUCUGGUAGGGGAAGGCGGAAUUCCAAGUGUAGCGGUGAAAUGCGCAGAUAUUUGGAAGAACACCGGUGGCGAAGGCGGCCUUCUGGGCCACGACUGACGCUGAGGCGCGAAAGCUAGGGGAGCGAACAGG
rnacentral:rRNA from 1 species